rnacentral:snRNA from 1 species
AAGCGUUAGAGCUUUUUUAGAAUUUGUCUAGGUUUCUGGUUUUCACCAGAAACUCUCUU